CUUUCUCUGCACCUCUCCUUCCAGUUCAAAGCACUGUGAAGCUGCUGUUGCCCUCCAGGAUGGCAUAUUUCCAGUCCUUUCCCUUUCCAAAGCUGUGGCAGUUGGUGCAUGCUCGGUGAUUAUAAUGAAGAAUAUGAAAAUCAGGAAAGAAGCCAGAACAGCACUCAUCUCUACUUUGGAAUAAUAUGAAACACCUGUACAAGAAGUCUCAGCAUAAUAAACCCCCUCAUCAAGAUGAAGCUGCUGCACAAGCUUGAAUUACUGUUUUCUCACCAUGCUGUGAAAUCAACAUGACGAAUAAGAUGGUAUAGCACAUCAGGAGAAAAUCUGCAUCUCUACUUGACUUCACAGAUCAAAGCAUCUCCUAAGCUGCAUUUACUCUCCUGCUAAUAUCAAUAUACCAUGAAGAAAUUUCCCAAGGAGCAAUGAUAUAAUAGCUCACCCUUUUCUCAGACUCGAGUUGCACCCAUGUCUUU